rnacentral:tRNA from 1 species
GGGCGUGUGGCGCAGUUGGUAGCGCGUCAGUUUUGCAUACUGAAGGUCUCUGGUUCGAUCCCUGACACGUCCA